GGGGAUAUGGCGGAAUUGGUAGACGCGCUGGCUUCAGGAGCCAGUCUUCGCAAGAAGGUGAGAGUUCGAGUCUCUCUAUCCCCA
rnacentral:tRNA from 1 species